AUUUUAAAUCACAAUAGGAGUUGAGAAGCUUGCCACAGUUCACAGAUUCCCUGAAAUCUCUCCACAGGUUCUCAGAUGAAGAACUGGAUUCAAUGAUGUAAAUUUUACCACCAAAUGUGUACGCUUCUGUUGGAAACAUCACAGCGUCUGAAGUAUGGAAGUUGAGAAUCAUCCCACAAGGCAAUGGAGAGCAAAGUAAAGUGGACCAAACCAGGAGAAGUUGAACAGCAACAACAGCAGUCCAAUGAUCAACUGUGAAUGACAAUUAAUAUCCACAAUGCAAAGAUCCAGGACCCCAAGGGGCUCAUAAAAAAAGAUGUAUAACAGAAUGAGUCAACAUUUUGCCGGCCACAGCUACCUGAUUGUGGCGUGCCUAGUUGAGACUGACAAAAAAUAAACAAACGCACUAAAUGAGGAACAGAAUUCCAGGCUUGGUAUUAGUAAGCCAUUUAUACAGAAGAUGCUUGUCUGGAAAACAGGAAGGCACAUUCCCCAGCAUGUUACUCAUGUCCUGCCGUGUUACCCUGAAGCCUGAAUUGGCAUUGACAUUCUACAUGUCUGCCCUGCAACAACAUCUGGGGCUCUAAACCACAGAUGGAAAUGAAACUCUGUCCUUUGCAAAGCACGAAGUCAUGGAAUGAAUGCAAGCAGUGUUGUAAGUUGUGACCCCUCCUGCAAGGAUCCUGCACAUUCAGAACUUUUACCUCCUUGAUGAGAUCAUGGCCUUUGAAAUAGAUGGCUUCCUGAGGACACCAUGAUCGGUCACUGAAGACCAUCCCACUCUGGCAAUGGAUUGCAGUUGCUGAAUUUAUUUCCUGAUAUUAUAUGGGUCUGGAUAAAAGUACAACUCUUAGAAAAAGAAAAGAGCAUCUUAGCUAACAUUGAAAACAAAAAAGGGGAAAAAAUUGUUCUGAUGCAUCAGGCACCAGAAUAUGUAUUACCUUAUUAGCAAAAUAAAAGGUAUUAUUGGAUAAAAUUAUCCCCUUGG
rnacentral:lncRNA from 1 species